rnacentral:rRNA from 1 species
GCGACGCCGAGCGGAACCCGAAAAACGGACGCCUCAGUUCGGAUUGGAGUCUGCAACCCGACUCCAUGAAGCUGGAUUCGCUAGUAAUCGCGCAUCAGCCACGGCGCGGUGAAUACGUUCCCGGGCCUUGUACACACCGCCCGUCAAGCCAUGGGAGCCGGGAGUGCCUGAAGUGCGCGGCCGCGAGGAGCGCCCUAGGGCAAGACUGGUGACUGGGGCUAAGUCGUAACAAGGUACC